rnacentral:lncRNA from 10 species
GUUUUUAUUAAAAUAUAAGCCAAAUUGUGUUCCUGCCUCUGCUAAAACCUUCACGUGGCUCCCCAGCUUGCUCAAAGUAAAAGCCAAAGACCAUCAUAUGAUUUGGAUUGGUGGAAUUCAAGAAUGUUCUGCUAAAGGAAUACACCUAUUAAUGGAAACAUCCAGGUCUUACUCUGUCAACCACACCCAGGUGGGAGUGUAGUGGUGCGAUAGCUCAUGGACUGCAACCUCCGUUUCCUGGACUCAGGUGAUCCUCUUACCUCAGCCUCCUGAGUAGCUGGGACCACAGGUGUACACCACCACACUUGGAUAAUUUUUUGUAUUUUUGGUGGAGAUGGGGUUUUGCCAUGUUGCCCAGUCUGCUCUCAAACUCCUGACCUCAAGCAAUCCAUUUGCCUCAGCCUCCCAAAGUGCUGGGAUUACAGGCGUGAGCCAUGGCACCCAGCAGCAAUAAAGAGAAAUUUUAAAACGCGAAUCUCAACCUUUGAAGUUUUGUGUAAUUCAAAAGA